rnacentral:lncRNA from 1 species
AAGCAGCAUUAUUUACUUUUGUUUGAAACAGGAUUUUGCGAAGUUGUAGAGGCUGUCCUCAGACUUGUGGUCCUCCUGUUUAGCCUCCCAAGAACUAGGAUUACAGAUAUGCAUCAGCCACCAAUUUGUAAGCACAAGGAGAAGGACUUGUGCUAUUCACCACUGUAUGACUCUUCUCUAAGAAAACGCCUGGUUUAUGAUAGAAGCUGGGACCAAUUUUGAUCUCUCAUCGUGGUACCUCCCUUUAAGGAGACUAGCCAGCCCCACAGUGGUGAGUUGAUUGCAUCGGAUCCUUUCUGCCUUGGAAAGAGAAAUAAUUGAUAAGAACUGAGAGAUAUAUUCUCUGGGUCUAAUUUUCUUGCCCAUUAUACUUUGGGACUCUGCAUAAUAAAGCAAUAGACCAAAAGAAUAUUCUUAAUAACAGAAAUGUUGUAGCAUGAGCCUAUGGCCAUACAAUCCUUUAGUCAUUGCCCAGACUGCACCAUCUAAACAUGACUGGACUGGGAGGGUAUUGGAAUGCUCUUA